UACGACUACAUAUCAGGCAUAUCAAUAAGCGGAGGAAAAGAAACUAACAAGGAUUCCCUUAGUAACGGCGAGUGAAGCGGGAAGAGCUCAAAUUUGAAAUCUUCAAGGUUUUACCUUGACGAAUUGUAGUUUAAAGAAGUGUUUUCUGUUGAAGUUUUGGUAAAAGUUCUUUGGAAUAGGACAUCAUAGAGGGUGAGAAUCCCGUAUUUGACCAUUAUUUUCAGCUGUGUGAUACACUUUCAAAGAGUCGGAUUGUUUGGGAAUGCAGUCCAAAAUGGGUGGUAAAUUUCAUCUAAAGCUAAAUAUUGGCGAGAGACCGAUAGCGAACAAGUACCGUGAGGGAAAGAUGAAAAGAACUUUGAAAAGAGAGUUAAACAGUACGUGAAAUUGUCAAAAGGGAAGCGUUUGACACCAGUGUUGUUUUCUCGAAAAUCAAUUAAAAAAAGUUGGAUUUUGUGUUGUAUUGACCUUAACAGCUUGCUUCACUCUUUUCCAGCUUUUUUUAAUGCACUUUUCGUUUAACAAGUCAACAUCAGUUUCUUUUGUUGUAAAAGGGUCAUUGGAAGGUGGCUUUCUUUUCGGAGAAAGUGUUUAUAGCCUUUGGCCUCUGCAAUCGGAGAGAUUGAGGUCUGCAGCGUAGAUCCUUCGGGGUUAGAUACAUUUGUGCUAAGUUAUAGCCUUUCAUAGACAACUUGUUGACUAUGAUCAGUCAUGUAGCUUACUCGCUUAUGCUAUUUUACCUACGCUUAGGAUGUUGAGCGCAUGUCUCUCUCU
rnacentral:rRNA from 1 species